AUUAAUUUUUCAUCAACAUAUACUUGGUGUAGCUGGCAGGAUAUCAGAGACACCUGCCAGAGGAUAUCCAGAGUCUACUUGGAACCUGCACUUAGUAUGAACAUGAGUGCUUGAGCCCCACCAGCUUCUCAGUACUCCUCAGUUGUUCUGCCAUGUGGUGUCCUCAGGCAACUGAGGACCUGCCAGCAGUGUCUGAAGAUCAGUCCUCAAGAUUUGCAGCAGUUCUAUAGUGGAAACCACCACGACCAUUAUCACAUGGAAGCUCUUGAGCCGGGGAUCGAACCCAUGCUGCCCUUGUGACCUCUGCCACAGCUGUAGCCAUGACAGAUCCAUAAGCAGACAUGCCAGAAGGGAAUUUCCUUAAGAAGUCUGAAGGACCAUGGAGAACAAUGGACAAGGACAAAGCCAAAGUCCAGAGAGGACCAGGUACAGAGCAUUCUUCCCAGAGAGAAGAUCCGAGGACUGACACAAGAACUUCUUUCACUCUGGGGCAGGGAGUCUGUACUUCUUGUCCAACAUGGUUCCUUUUCGCUAUGCACCCCUGCUUUCUAGGCUUCUCUUUUCCAAGUGAGCGUUUUCACUGUACGUAUCCUGGUUUUGCUCCACAUUACAUACUGAAACUUGAGUAGUGGGGGGGUAUAACGUCCUGCUAUUGUAUAGGUAGCUGGAGCUGGACUUGAUGGAGAGGACUGCACAUCUCCCACGGAAGUUAGACUUCAUUUAUUACUCAGGAAAUGGAUUGUAUUUUACAUUAUCUCCCAAGGGGAGGGUUGAAUGUAUUUUAUGCUUGGAAAUAAGGGUGUGCUUGGACAUUUAUACGGCCAGAGGUUUAGAAGCGUCGGAGUUUGCUAAUUGUUCUCCGUGUCCAUUUUCCCUUUCUGCACUUCAGUAAUAGAGCUCCUCUGAGUGUGAGCUUACUGCACAACUGACCAGCAAGAUACUACACUUCCUGUCUCCUUCCAAGUAACUCUUGCUAUGUGGAUUUAAGACCACAGUAACAACAAUCAAGGGACCCUACUUCAGAGUUACAUUUUUCUCUGUGGAAAUACCUGCCUUAAUGCCGUGGGAAGA